rnacentral:rRNA from 1 species
GAUGAACGCUAGCGACAGGCCUAACACAUGCAAGUCGAGGGGUAUAAGUAGCUUGCUACUUAGAGACCGGCGCACGGGUGAGUAACGCGUAUGCAACCUGGCCGUAAGAGGGGGAUAGCCUCACGAAAGAGAGAUUAACACCGCAAAAUAAUGCGAUAAGGCAUCUUAAUGCAGUUAAAUAUUUAUAGCUUACGGAUGGGCAUGCAUCUGAUUAGUUUGUUGGUAGGGUAACGGCCUACCAAGACUACGAGCAGUAGGGGUUCUUAGAUGAAGUUCCCCCACACUGGUACUUAGACACGGACCAUACUCCUACGGGAGGCAGCAUUGAGGAAUAUUGGUCAAUGGGCGAGAGCCUGAACCAGCCAAUUCGCGUGAAGGAAAACUGCCCUAUGGGUUGUAAACUUCUUUUGUAAGGGAAUAAAAAACGCUACGUGUAGUGUCUUGUAGGUACCUUACGAAUAAGGAUCGGCUAACUCCGUGCCAGCAGCCGCCGUAACAC